UUUUUUAGUUGAAGUCAUUAUCUCAAUUUAUUCUAGUUCUUACUCAUCAAAUUGCAACGAUGACGAAGAUGACACUGAGGCUCUAAUUGUAUAGAGCUAAUAAGGAUUAAAAAAUAAAGAGCUGAAGAAAUGCUUAGAACGAACCGCCAGCAAGCAGAAGAAGAGGCCAAGAUGAAGGAGACUAUGCUGAUGCAAGGAAACCCGCUUAUCAAUAUGAAUAAUUCCAUAUCCUUCAAUGUGAAGAGAAGGUGGGAUGAUGAUUUUGUAUUCAAGAACCGGACUCGUGGAGAGACCAAGACUCCAAAACGUUUCAUCAACGGCACCAUCCGGAGUGAUUUCCAUCGCUAGUUUUUUUGCAUAGGUACUUGAAACGAAUCUGAUUUUUUGCUUUAUGUUGUCUGGAGGUGUAUGCCAUGGCCUCCUGGAAAGAGCUUGUGAUGUUCCAGUAUUCUGAAGAUCGAUAUGUAUGACAAACUGCAAAAUUUUCCUUGUCACGAUUGUGAUAUUUUUACCGGACUAAAGAAAACCAUUGCUUGUGUAUAACUGAUGUUGUGUCAUAAUGUUUGUAUUUAUUGGUAUCUACUAUUUGAAGUCUCUGACAUGUUCCCUAGCCACAUUUACCUGGAAAGUAAGUAUUUUUACGUGGUUGUGCAGCAGUGUCUUGGGUAAUGCUUUGUGUUUCAGCUGGAUUCAUUGAGUGCUUGAAACACC